rnacentral:rRNA from 1 species
GAUGAACGCUGGCGGCGUGCCUAACACAUGCGAGUCGAACGGAGAUUACGGACGGAAGUUUUCGGAUGGAAGCCUGUAAUUUUUAGUGGCGGACGGGUGAGUAACGCGUGGGCAACCUGCCCUAUACAGGGGGAUAGCAGCUGGAAACGGCUGGUAAGACCGCAUAAGUCGGUUAAAUCGCAUGAUUUGAUCGGGAAAUGAGCAAUCAGGUAUAGGAUGGGCCCGCGUCCGAUUAGCCAGUUGGCAGGGUAAAAGCCUACCAAAGCGACGAUCGGUAGCCGGACUGAGAGGUCGGACGGCCACAUUGGGACUGAGACACGGCCCAAACUCCUACGGGAGGCAGCAGUGGGGGAUAUUGCACAAUGGAGGAAACUCUGAUGCAGCGACGCCGCGUGAGUGAAGAAGUAUUUCGGUAUGUAAAGCUCUAUCAGCAGGGAAGAUGAUGACGGUACCUGACUAAGAAGCCCCGGCUAACUACGUG